GGAAGAGGCGGUGGUGGGUGGCCGACGGCGGGAAGGGCAGCGUCCACUGGCCGUUGAAGUACAGCGCAUUCACCAGCACCAGCCGAGUCAGCGGGUCCAGGGCAUCUGUGCUCAGCAGGGAGGGUCUAUGACCAGCUGUGCUCAGGGCUGACUCCUGGCUCUGUGCUCAGGACUCACUUCUGGCCGUGCUUGAGGGACCCUGUGGGAUGCCGGGGAUGGAACCCUAGUCGGCUGCGUGCAAGGCUGGCGCCUAAAUGCUGAAUUGUCUCUCUGGCCCUUCUAAGACUGUUCUGUCUCCCUCAGAUGUCGUUCACGAUGAACCUGGCUCUCUCCACCUCCAAGAAGUCCACCUGCUUGACCGUGGUCCGGAACAGCUUGAAGAAGUG